AUUGAACGCUGGCGGCAUGCCUUACACAUGCAAGUCGAACGGCAGCGCGGACUUCGGUCUGGCGGCGAGUGGCGAACGGGUGAGUAAUGUAUCGGAACGUACCAUUCAGUGGGGGAUAACGCAGCGAAAGUUGCGCUAAUACCGCAUAUUCUGUGCGCAGGAAAGCAGGGGAUCGCAAGACCUUGCGCUGAUUGAGCGGCCGAUAUCAGAUUAGCUAGUUGGUGAGGUAAAGGCUCACCAAGGCGACGAUCUGUAGCGGGUCUGAGAGGAUGAGCCGCCACACUGGAACUGAGACACGGUACAGACUCCUACGGGGGGAAGCAGUGGGGAAUUUUGGACAAUGGGCGCGAGCCUGAUCCAGCCAUGCCGCGUGAGUGAAGAAGGCCUUCGGGUUGUAAAGCUCUUUCGGCCGGGAAGAAAUCGUAUGGGCUAAUACCCUGUGCGGAUGACGGUACCGGCAUAAGAAGCACCGGCUAACUACGUGCCAGCCGCCGCGGUAAAAC
rnacentral:rRNA from 1 species